GCAGGGCCGAGUGUUGCACCCAGAACAGACACGGGUGGUCAGUGUUCGGGAGUGUGCUCGUUCCCAGGGCUUUCCAGACACAUUCCGCUUCUUUGGAACCAUCUUGGAGAAACACAGACAGGUUGGUAAUGCUGUGCCGCCUCCAAUGGCCCGUGCUUUAGGAUUGGAAA